rnacentral:rRNA from 1 species
AGCGAACGCUGGCGGCAGGCUUAACACAUGCAAGUCGAGCGGGCAUAGCAAUAUGUCAGCGGCAGACGGGUGAGUAACGCGUGGGAACGUACCUUUUGGUUCGGAACAACUGAGGGAAACUUCAGCUAAUACCGGAUAAGCCCUUACGGGGAAAGAUUUAUCGCCGAAAGUUCGGCCCGCGUCUGAUUAGCUAGUUGGUGAGGUAAUGGCUCACCAAGGCGACGAUCAGUAGCUGGCCUGAGAGGAUGAUCAGCCACAUUGGGACUGAGACACGGCCCAAACUCCUACGGGAGGCAGCAGUGGGGAAUAUUGGACAAUGGGCGCAAGCCUGAUCCAGCCAUGCCGCGUGAGUGAUGAAGGCCCUAGGGUUGUAAAGCUCUUUUGUGCGGGAAGAUAAUGACGGUACCGCAAGAAUAAGCCCCGGCUAACUUCGUG